rnacentral:rRNA from 1 species
AUGUAUCAUGACAGCAAGAGUGAUAGGAGGAAGGAUAACCUGGAGAGUUCACUCACUAUUCACCAUUUGACUGAAGAAAAAAAUAAUCUAGAGGCCAACUAUGACAAAUUGGUUGAAGAUGUGCACCAACUGUUCAAUGCUCAAGAGGAUAGGAUGGUAUAUUUCAGCUAUUUGCAGGCUAAGAUGCAGAAUGUGCAUGUUUCUGAUUCAAUUGUAUCUGACAUGAAGACAGAGAUGGGGAAGAAAGAUGCAGAGAUCUUCAAGCUGCAGGAGAAGUAUAAAGUACUGAUGAACCUAACAAAAUCUCAAGGCACUUGCAUCCAGAACCUGAAGUUCAAUCAUCUAAAAUAG